rfam:Archaeon GW2011_AR18 QT09_C0012, whole genome shotgun sequence.
GGGCCUGUAGUUUAACCUGGAUAGAAUACGUGGCUACGGACCAUGUGAUGUGGGUUCAAAUCCUGCCAGGCUCG